ensembl:lncRNA
CUUGCUAAUGCCACAGUUCUUUUGAAAGAGGAAGGGCAAAAGGACUGAUCUGUAUGCGUCAGGUCUUCCUAAGGGAGGAAGUAGUUUGAAUACAGUGAAGAAUAAGAGGGGGAAGAUACCUCUGUGGGGCUGCAGAUUGACUACAGGGCUCCCGAGAUCCCUUCCAAAAGGAAUUGCCCUUCUGAGAAGUCUCAUAGGAUCAAGAUGGACAGCAUUUGAAGAUCAAAUUUCAUGGAGGACUUCACAAAUAGUUCUACAAGAUGGACAUUUACCAAUUUCACUGAUUUACUACAAUGAAACCUUGAAGAGUGCAAUUACAGGAUCUUUAUUUGGUGGAUGUGGGGAAACCACACUAAGUGAUUUGUCUAAUCAUACAAUUGGAAUUGAAAGCUGCUUUUUCCUCAGGAAGGAUGCUGGGAUGCACUUUGGAUUCUUUUCCUGCUGCUUCUUGGCUCAGGCCCUGGCAGACAAUGGCAGAUACCUCCCAGAGGAGCAGCUACUAGGAGAUCCAGGGCUGAAUGCUUGACUACUGAACUUCACAGAUCAAACACAUACACCAAAUUUGAGACUGAGAAAU